UUGAUAUCCGGGAGAUUAAAGAGAUCCGGCCUGGGAAAAAUUCCAGAGAUUUUGAACGUUAUCCGGACGAAGCUCGCAAGCUGGACCCUGACCUGUGUCUUGUCAUCUUAUAUGGGAUGGAAUUCCGACUCAAAUCCCUCAGCCUCUCAGCUUCCUGUGAAGAUGACGUGAGCCUUUGGAUUUCGGGUCUGAAUUGGCUCGUGCAGGACACACAAAGCUCCGCCACCCCCCUUCAGGUGGAGAGGUGGCUCCGGAAACAGUUUGAUCAGAUGGACAGAAACAGAGAAGGCAGGUGAGC